rnacentral:rRNA from 1 species
UUAAGCGACUAAGCGUACACGGUGGAUGCCCUGGCAGUCAGAGGCGAUGAAGGACGUGCUAAUCUGCGAAAAGCGUCGGUAAGGUGAUAUGAACCGUUAUAACCGGCGAUGUCCGAAUGGGGAAACCCAGUGCAAUUCGUUGCACUAUCGUUAACUGAAUACAUAGGUUAACGAGGCGAACCGGGGGAACUGAAACAUCUAAGUACCCCGAGGAAAAGAAAUCAACCGAGAUUCCCCCAGUAGCGGCGAGCGAACGGGGAGCAGCCCAGAGUCUGAAUCAGCUUGUGUGUUAGUGGAACGGUCUGGAAAGUCCGACGGUACAGGGUGAUAGUCCCGUACACCAAAAUGCACAGGUUGUGAACUCGAAGAGUAGGGCGGGACACGUGGUAUCCUGUCUGAAUAUGGGGGGACCAUCCUCCAAGGCUAAAUACUCCUGACUGACCGAUAGUGAACCAGUACCGUGAGGGAAAGGCGAAAAGAACCCCGGCGAGGGGAGUGAAAAGAACCUGAAACCGUGUACGUACAAGCAGUGGGAGCACCUUCGGGUGUGACUGCGUACCUUUUGUAUAAUGGGUCAGCGACUUAUAUUCUGUAGCAAGGUUAACCGUAUAGGGGAGCCGCAGGGAAACCGAGUCUUAACUGGGCGUUAAGUUGCAGGGUAUAGACCCGAAACCCGGUGAUCUAGCCAUGGGCAGGUUGAAGGUUGGGUAACACUAACUGGAGGACCGAACCGACUAAUGUUGAAAAAUUAGCGGAUGACUUGUGGCUGGGGGUGAAAGGCCAAUCAAACCGGGAGAUAGCUGGUUCUCCCCGAAAGCUAUUUAGGUAGCGCCUCGUGAAUUCAUCUUCGGGGGUAGAGCACUGUUUCGGCUAGGGGGUCAUCCCGACUUACCAACCCGAUGCAAACUACGAAUACCGAAGAAUGUUAUCACGGGAGACACACGGCGGGUGCUAACGUCCGUCGUGAAGAGGGAAACAACCCAGACCGCCAGCUAAGGUCCCAAAGUCAUGGUUAAGUGGGAAACGAUGUGGGAAGGCACAGACAGCCAGGAUGUUGGCUUAGAAGCAGCCAUCAUUUAAAGAAAGCGUAAUAGCUCACUGGUCGAGUCGGCCUGCGCGGAAGAUGUAACGGGGCUAAACCAUGCACCGAAGCUGCGGCAGCGACACUAUGUGUUGUUGGGUAGGGGAGCGUUCUGUAAGCCUGCGAAGGUGUGCUGUGAGGCAUGCUGGAGGUAUCAGAAGUGCGAAUGCUGACAUAAGUAACGAUAAAGCGGGUGAAAAGCCCGCUCGCCGGAAGACCAAGGGUUCCUGUCCAACGUUAAUCGGGGCAGGGUGAGUCGACCCCUAAGGCGAGGCCGAAAGGCGUAGUCGAUGGGAAACAGGUUAAUAUUCCUGUACUUGGUGUUACUGCGAAGGGGGGACGGAGAAGGCUAUGUUAGCCGGGCGACGGUUGUCCCGGUUUAAGCAUGUAGGCUGGUUAUCCAGGCAAAUCCGGAUAAUCAAGGCUGAGGUGUGAUGACGAGGCACUACGGUGCUGAAGUAACAAAUGCCCUGCUUCCAGGAAAAGCCUCUAAGCAUCAGGUAACAUCAAAUCGUACCCCAAACCGACACAGGUGGUCAGGUAGAGAAUACCAAGGCGCUUGAGAGAACUCGGGUGAAGGAACUAGGCAAAAUGGUGCCGUAACUUCGGGAGAAGGCACGCUGGUGUGUAGGUGAAGCCCCUGCGGGUGGAGCUGAGACCAGUCGAAGAUACCAGCUGGCUGCAACUGUUUAUUAAAAACACAGCACUGUGCAAACACGAAAGUGGACGUAUACGGUGUGACGCCUGCCCGGUGCCGGAAGGUUAAUUGAUGGGGUUAUCCGUAAGGAGAAGCUCUUGAUCGAAGCCCCGGUAAACGGCGGCCGUAACUAUAACGGUCCUAAGGUAGCGAAAUUCCUUGUCGGGUAAGUUCCGACCUGCACGAAUGGCGUAAUGAUGGCCAGGCUGUCUCCACCCGAGACUCAGUGAAAUUGAACUCGCUGUGAAGAUGCAGUGUACCCGCGGCAAGACGGAAAGACCCCGUGAACCUUUACUAUAGCUUGACACUGAACAUUGAGCCUUGAUGUGUAGGAUAGGUGGGAGGCUUUGAAGCGUGGACGCCAGUCUGCGUGGAGCCAACCUUGAAAUACCACCCUUUAAUGUUUGAUGUUCUAACGUUGGCCCCUGACCGGGGUUGCGGACAGUGUCUGGUGGGUAGUUUGACUGGGGCGGUCUCCUCCCAAAGCGUAACGGAGGAGCACGAAGGUUAGCUAAUCCUGGUCGGACAUCAGGAGGUUAGUGCAAUGGCAUAAGCUAGCUUGACUGCGAGCGUGACGGCGCGAGCAGGUGCGAAAGCAGGUCAUAGUGAUCCGGUGGUUCUGAAUGGAAGGGCCAUCGCUCAACGGAUAAAAGGUACUCCGGGGAUAACAGGCUGAUACCGCCCAAGAGUUCAUAUCGACGGCGGUGUUUGGCACCUCGAUGUCGGCUCAUCACAUCCUGGGGCUGAAGUAGGUCCCAAGGGUAUGGCUGUUCGCCAUUUAAAGUGGUACGCGAGCUGGGUUUAGAACGUCGUGAGACAGUUCGGUCCCUAUCUGCCGUGGGCGCUGGAGAAUUGAGGGGGGCUGCUCCUAGUACGAGAGGACCGGAGUGGACGCAUCACUGGUGUUCGGGUUGUCAUGCCAAUGGCACUGCCCGGUAGCUAAAUGCGGAAGAGAUAAGUGCUGAAAGCAUCUAAGCACGAAACUUGCCCCGAGAUGAGUUCUCCCUGAGACUUUAAGUCUCCUGAAGGAACGUUAAAGACGAUGACGUUGAUAGGCCGGGUGUGUAAGCGCAGCGAUGCGUUGAGCUAACCGGUACUAAUGAACCGUGAGGCUUAACCUU